rnacentral:rRNA from 1 species
UACGUAGGGGGCAAGCGUUGUCCGGAUUUAUUGGGCGUAAAGAGCGUGUAGGCGGCCUUACAGGUCAGCUGUGAAAACUCGAGGCUCAACCUCGAGACGUCGGUUGAAACCGUAAGGCUAGAGUCCGGAAGAGGAGAGUGGAAUUCCCGGUGUGAGCGGUGAAAUGCGCAGAUAUCGGGAAGAACACCCGUGGCGAAGGCGGCUCUCUGGGACGGUACUGACGCUGAGACGCGAAAGCGUGGGGAGCGAACGAGG